rnacentral:rRNA from 1 species
UCAGUGAAAUCGAGUAGGACGGGACACGUGUUAUCCUGUCUGAAUAUGGGGGGACCAUCCUCCAAGGCUAAAUACUCCUGACUGACCGAUAGUGAACCAGUACCGUGAGGGAAAGGCGAAAAGUACCCCUGUGAGGGGAGUGAAAUAGAACCUGAAACCGUGUACGUACAAGCAGUAGGAGCAGGCUUGUCCUGUGACUGCGUACCUUUUGUAUAAUGGGUCAGCGACUUAAUUUUAGUAGCAAGGUUAACCAUCUAGGGGAGCCGUAGGGAAACCGAGUCUUAACUGGGCGUCAUAGUUGCUAGGAUUAGACCCGAAACCGAGUGAUCUAGCCAUGGGCAGGUUGAAGAUUGAGUAACAUCAAUUGGAGGACCGAACCGACUAAUGUUGAAAAAUUAGCGGAUGACUUGUGGCUAGGGGUGAAAGGCCAAUCAAACUCGGAGAUAGCUGGUUCUCCCCGAAAGCUAUUUAGGUAGCGCCUCGGACGAAUACUACUGGGGGUAGAGCACUGUUAAGGCUAGGGGGUCAUCCCGACUUACCAACCCUUUGCAAACUCCGAAUACCAGUAAGUACUAUCCGGGAGACACACGGCGGGUGCUAACGUCCGUCGUGAAGAGGGAAACAACCCAGACCGCCAGCUAAGGUCCCAAAGUUAUAGCUAAGUGGGAAACGAUGUGGGAAGGCUCAGACAGCCAGGAUGUUGGCUUAGAAGCAGCCAUCAUUUAAAGAAAGCGUAAUAGCUCACUGGUCGAGUCGGCCUGCGCGGAAGAUUUAACGGGGCUAAGCUAUACACCGAAGCUGCGGCAAUGUGCUU